rnacentral:misc_RNA from 1 species
GAUGAAGAACGCAGCGAAAUGCGAUAAGUAAUGUGAAUUGCAGAAUUUAGUGAAUCAUCGAAUCUUUGAACGCACAUUGCGCCCGCCAGUAUUCUGGCGGGCAUGCCUGUUCGAGCGUCAUUUCAACCAUCAAGCCCCCGGCUUGUGUUGGGGACCUGCGGCUGCCGCAGGCCCUGAAAACCAGUGGCGGGCUCGCUAGUCACUCCGAGCGUAGUAAUACAUCUCGCUCAGGGCGUGCUGCGGGUUCCGGCCGUUAAAAAGCCUUAUUUACCCAAGGUUGACCUCGGAUCAGGUAGGAAGACCCGCUGAACUUAAGCAUAUCAAUAAGCGGAGGA